UUACUUCUAUCUCAAAUUAGUUGUUGACUAUAUGAAUAUUCUAAAUCCAUUCUUAAGUAACAAGCUUUCUAGUUCUAGUCUAAAAAAAUUUCCAACAACUUCAACGAAAAACUAAAGAUACAUUAUUGAAAUACUAUGAAGUGUCAUGAAUCUACCCAAACAAAAAAACCACUUCUCUAUUCUACCGGAGAAUACUCCGGAAAGUAAAAGAAGGUGAAAAAAAUUUAGUGGCUGCAAAUGCAAGAAUUCAGGCUAAACAGGUCAGAAAAAAACAAAUAACUAAAACGUGCUCUGCUUUCAUAUAUUGAGAGAGGGGUAGAUAGAUGCAAUGGAUGUUAAUUAACUCAUCUAUGAAUUGUCACUAUUUUCUAAACUAACACAACUUGACAUAAAGCAUCUGUAAUCAAAGGCUUCAAGUAUGGUCAAAACUCAAAAUGAAGAACUUCUUAAUGCUUUUUCCUUUUUAAUACAAUUACUGCGCGUGGAAUCAUAUUGAAUCAGUGAAUUUUGAAUACUAAAUGUCUAAAAAGGAAAAGCAAACAGAGAUUCUUCAUGUGCAUGCUAAAAUUAGAAUGAGAAGAAGAUAGAGAUUCCACUAAACUUCUGCAUAUAAUUUGUUUUCUUAUGAAAGUUGGGAUUAAUUUUGUCAUUACAAGAUACUAAACAGAUUACUAGAAAGGAUAGCUUCGGGAUUUGGGGGAAUCAGCAAUUUUAAGAGUCUGUUCAAUAAGCUUACGAGCCUUCUUGCUCCUAAUCUCCACUCUCAUGCUUUCACUCUUCUCAAUCUUGUCGUAUGAUUCCUUCAUUUUAAAGGACCUCCUCAGUUUCGUCUUCAAAUUCACCAUCAAUCUCUCAAAUCCCAUCAUUUUCUUCUUGAUUAAUUAAAACCACCC